rnacentral:rRNA from 1 species
UACGUAGGGGGCAAGCGUUGUCCGGAUUUAUUGGCGUAAAGAGCGUGUAGGCGGCCAUGUAGGUCCGUUGUGAAAACUCGAGGCUCAACCUCGAGACGCCGAUGGAAACCAUGUGGCUAGAGUCCGGAAGAGGAGAGUGGAAUUCCUGGUGUAGCGGUGAAAUGCGCAGAUAUCAGGAAGAACACCGGUGGCGAAGGCGGGUCUCUGGACAGUAACUGACGCUGAGGAGCGAAAGCGUGGGGAGCGAACAGG